ACAGUGGUGGUUCAGCAGUAGAAUUCUUGCCUUCCACAUAGGAGAACCCAUGGCCGCCAAGCUGAUUCCGACUCAUAGUGACCCUCCGUGUUAAACAGGAGAACUGCUCCAUAGGGUUUUCAAGGCUGUAAUCUUUACAGAAGCAGAUCACCAGGCCACGCAUUUGCACCACCCAGGGAUGCCACUCCACGCAGGAGACCUGGGUUCGAUUCCCAGCCAAUGUA
rnacentral:tRNA from 1 species